AUAGGUUCUGAGCUUUUCUUUCAGCUAGGUUACAGACUGGGUCCUCUACAAGUCGGCUAGUUCGCUGGGCCAGAAGAAAGGAACUGCGGACACCUUUCAGGAUCUGAGAAGCAGAUCCCAAUGCAGUGAGCAUUGACAAAUAAGCUGGAGAAGAGUGGGCCUUGUGGAAGAUGUGUAACGUAAAUUAAGCCUUGACAGGGGAAACCAGCCCAAAAGGAAGCUGUGGAAAUGCAGCUCUGGCUAUGCAAACCAGAGGAAGACUGCAAAGACAUGCAUGGCCUAGGAUCAUCCUGAAACCUCAUGAAGACUUGUUUUGGGGGCACAGGAGGCAGAUGUUCAUGAUACAUUGUUACAUGAAAGAAGUUGUGUAUACUAUAAGCACAUUUGGAUAAAAAUGUAUGUACUUAGCAAAGUGAAAAGACAAAUGAUGUCUAUCAAAGAGUAACAAUGGUUAUUUCUACAUAGUGCAUGAUUAUUGAUUUCACUUAAGUAUAACCCCCUUGUUUUUUUUUUUUUUUAUGUGUUCAUUUUCUACACUAAAGAUUAAUUUUGAAAAGGCGCUUAGGAGAUGAGGGAAUUACUGGCCCCAGAACCACCUGUACAUACUUCCCAAAGCAUUAUUCUGGCAAAGCCGAUGUUUCUGGUUCAGCCUCACGAAGGAUUUCAAAUAUGGUUUGAAGUUGACAGUUUAUUUAUUUAUACCAUUAACACAGUUGAUUGACUGCAGUGCUUCCCAACAAUGAAAAACUUGGUGGAUUAACCAUUAAAAUCUAGCCAAUCUUAUGAAAAAAGUCAAUUACACAUCUCUGCCAAUAUUUGGCACUGACGUUAGGUUUUGCAAUUUUUCUGAAUGUAGUCACCCUUAUUUAUUUACUUAUUUUUGCAAACAUUGCUCGUCCAUUUGUUGAUUGAUCAAGCAACUGGUUUGGCUGUUUGAGACAGGCAGCUUCUGCUGGCUUCAGAGUCUCUGUGUAGCCAAGAAUGACUUUGUACAGGAGCCUGGCCUGGAGGCCUCCACCUGCCACGUGUUGGGAUUACAGGGUGUGCUACCACAUCUGGCUGACUUGUCUUUUUAAAUAAAGAAAGUUUGUACCUCUGU
ensembl:processed_transcript BB557941 expressed sequence BB557941